rnacentral:lncRNA from 1 species
CCUCUCUUUGCCUGACCUCCGCUGCUCUUUUUGCCCCAAUUCGGCCCUUUUUGGCCCAAACGUUGCCCUCUUCCACCCCCUUUUAUGGGAUCCGGCACCGGAUGUGGGGCGCCCCAAAACCCCUCAUUACACCCCCAAAAUGCUCUGAUUCAGCCCCAAAAUGGGGUGAUUCAGCCCCAAAACGGAUCAUUACGGCCCGCAAUGGGGUCAGGGUGGCCCCAAAACCCAUAAUUAGGACCCAAAAUGGGGCGGAGUCCCCAAACAAACCGGUUCCAAAACUCCCAAAUCCGGUUUGGAACCCCAAUAAAAGCGGCGCCCAACCCAAAUUGGGGCACUUUGGCCCCAAAAUGGAGAUCCUGACACGAAGAAAUGGGAUUUUCAGCCCCAAAAGUGCCAUUUUCAGCCCCAAAAUGCACAUCCUCGGCUCCAAAACUGAGAUUUUUCAGCCCCAGAAGUGCUAUUUUCGGACCCCAAAAUGGGACUUUCAGCCCCAAAAUGGAGAUCCUCAGCUCCAAAAAAAAAAAAAAAAAGGGGAUUUUCUGCCCCCAUAUUGGGAUUUUCACCCCCAAAGUGCCAUUUUCAGCCCCCAGAUUGGAUUUUCUCGCCCCAAAAUGAGGCCUCAGAGCCCCCCAUAGCGGUGUUCUUCGCCCCUCCCCGCUCACCUCGUUAAUUGGCGCUAAUUAACGUUGGCUCAUUAACGACUUCGGGCGGCUCCAGAGUCGGUUUUGGUUCCUCCUUCCACUUUGGGUGGAAAAAAGCAGAAAUUGGGACGGAAAGGGUGGGGUGAUGACGUCAUCACGGGUUUGGGGGGGAAAGGGGUCGUUUUGGUUCAAAGAGUGCAGGGGGCUGCUCCUCGUUUGCAUGUCAUUUGCAUAUCGUUUGCAUACAGAGGCGCAAUGGGAUUUUCAGCCCCAAAAUGGGGUCUCCGAAGCCCAAAAAAGGCAUUUUUAGCCCCCAAAUGGGGUCCCUGAAUAAAAAAAAGGACAUUUUUAGCCCCAAAAUGGGGUCCCCAAAUCCCUACAUUGGGAUUUUCAGCCCCAAAAAUGGGGUCCCUG